rnacentral:rRNA from 1 species
UACGGAAGGCAGCAGUGGGGAAUAUUGCACAAUGGGCGCAAGCCUGAUGCAGCCAUGCCGCGUGUAUGAAGAAGGCCUUCGGGUUGUAAAGUACUUUUCAGUCGUGAGGAAGGUGUUAAGGUUAAUAACCUUAGCAAUUGACGUUAGCGACAGAAGAAGCACCGGCUAACUCCGUGCCAGCAGCCGCGGUAAUACGGAGGGUGCGAGCGUUAAUCGGAAUUACUGGGCGUAAAGGGCACGCAGGCGGUUAAUUAAGUUGGAUGUGAAAUCCCCGGGCUUAACCUGGGAAUGGCAUUCAAGACUGGUUAGCUAGAGUCUUGUAGAGGGGGUAGAAUUCCAUGUGUAGCGGUGAAAUGCGUAGAGAUGUGGAGGAAUACCGGUGGCGAAGGCGGCCCCUGGACAAAGGACUGACGCUCAUGUGCGAAAGCGUGGGGAGCGAAAC